rnacentral:rRNA from 1 species
AGCAUCGGAACGUACCCAGUAGUGGGGGAUAGCCCGGCGAAAGCCGGAUUAAUACCGCAUACGACCUGAGGGUGAAAGCGGGGGACCGCAAGGCCUCGCGCUAUUGGAGCGGCCGAUGUCAGAUUAGGUAGUUGGUGGGGUAAAGGCUACCAAGCCUGCGAUCUGUAGCUGGUCUGAGAGGGCGACCAGCCACACUGGGACUGAGACACGGCCCAG